rnacentral:rRNA from 1 species
UACGUAGGUGGCAAGCGUUGUCCGGAUUUAUUGGGUUUAAAGGGUGCGUAGGCGGUUGAUUAAGUCAGUUGUGAAAUACUGCAGCUUAACUGUCGAGGUGCAAUUGAUACUGGUUGACUUGAGUACUGAUGAGGUAGGCGGAAUGGACGGUGUAGCGGUGAAAUGCGUAGAGAGCGUCCAGAACACCGAUAGCGAAGGCAGCUUACUAAGGAGUAACUGACGCUGAGGCACGAAAGUGUGGGGAUCAAACAGG